AAUGUUUAGUAAAAUACUAAAAAUUUCUAAAUCUCACAGUGCCCAAAUCACAUUAUGGAUCCAUUCCCUGUUGCUUUUCUUCUGAGAACAGU
ensembl:snoRNA